rnacentral:rRNA from 1 species
GAGUCUUAAUAGGGCGUUUAGUUGCUGGGUAUAGACCCGAAACCAGGCGAUCUAUCCAUGAGCAGGUUGAAGGUUGGGUAACACUAACUGGAGGACCGAACCCACUGUCGUUGAAAAGCCAGGGGAUGACUUGUGGAUAGGGGUGAAAGGCUAAUCAAGCCUGGUGAUAGCUGGUUCUCCCCGAAAGCUAUUUAGGUAGCGCCUCGGACGAAUACCAUAGGGGGUAGAGCACUGUUUCGGCUAGGGGGUCAUCCCGACUUACCAAACCGAUGCAAACUCCGAAUACCUAUGAGUACUAUCCGGGAGACAGACUGCGGGUGCUAACGUCCGUAGUCAAGAGGAAAACAAUCCAGACCGCCAGCUAAGGCCCCAAAAUCAUAGUUAAGUGGGAAACGAUGUGGGAAGGCAUAGACAGCUAGGAGGUUGGCUUAGAAGCAGCCACCCUUUAAAGAAAGCGUAAUAGCUCACUAGUCGAGUCGGCCUGCGCGGAAGAUGUAACGGGGCUAAAACUAUGUGCCGAAGCUGCGGAUUUGACAUUAGUCAAGUGGUAGGGGAGCGUUCUGUAAGCCGAUGAAGGUGUAUUGAGAAGUAUGCUGGAGGUAUCAGAAGUGCGAAUGCUGACGUGAGUAACGACAAAACGGGUGAAAAACCCGUUCGCCGAAAGACCAAGGGUUCCAGUCCAACGUUAAUCGGGGCUGGGUGAGUCGACCCCUAAGGCGAGGCCGAAAGGCGUAGUCGAUGGGAAAUUGGUUAAUAUUCCAAUACUUCUGUGUAAUGCGAUGAGAGGACGGAGAAGGUUAAGUCAGCCUGGCGUUGGUUGUCCAGGUGGAAGGAUGUAGGUAUGUAUCUUAGGCAAAUCCGGGGUACUCUAUACUGAGAUCCGAUAGCAAGCUGUACUUGUACAGUGAAGUGGCUGAUACCAUGCUUCCAGGAAAAGUCUCUAAGCUUCAGUUACACAGGAAUCGUACCCGAAACCGACACAGGUGGUCAGGUCGAGUAGACCAAGGCGCUUGAGAGAACUCUGCUGAAGGAACUAGGCAAAAUGGUACCGUAACUUCGGGAGAAGGUACGCUGUUGUUGGUGAUGGAACUUGCUUCCUGAGCUGACGACAGCCGC